GCCGCCCCGCCCGCCGCCGGGCCCGCCCCCGUUGCCAUGGCGGCGGCGGCGGCAGCGGGGGGACAUGGGCGGCAAAGCGGCCCCGAAACCGAGCCCUCGAGGCGCCCCGAGGCUCCCCGAGUCAUCCCAAGUUGCCAGGGCCUGUCUGUGACUGGAUGCAUGCCAGAUUGUCCUUUGGGAUAUAGCCCAGUGAGCAGGAGAAAUGGAUUUGAAUUUGGCAAAAUGGCAAUAAGCAUAAAGGAUGAAGCUGGAGAGCUGCUUCAUCAGUGCCAAUCCAUACUGUGGUUGGUCUCAUGAAAAAGAUCUUAUUGAUGAAUUAUUGCAGCUACUCUCCCAGCCAUGGAAGAAUGUCUCAUACAAAAAGAUCCAUAGGUGACUGAUAGGUGUGGUAAGCAGCCUGUGAGAUUUGGGAGAAAAUUUCUGGUAUAUCUAGAAAUCAACCUAGAUCUAACUUACCUGCCAUUGUGGAUAUUUUAGUCUUAAUUCAUGCUUUUCCACCACAUUUCAGAACGUGUCCUUUAUCUGAACAGCUUUGCUUUCUUGUUUGUUUGUUUUUUAUGUUUGUCAGUCAUUACACAGUGCUAUUUAGAAUCAAUUUUGCACCCUUCCAUGUGUUGAGUGGUUGUGGUGAGUGAUGAUUGCAGGAUUAGCCUGCUAGUAAUUAAAUGUUGCUGCCUCUUAGCUUGAAAAUGAAACAUCUCUAAGGAAUUUAAGAGUUUCUUGCUUUAUUUAGGUUGGGCAUGUCUAAAUAGUAUGGGUAGGUUUACCAAGUCAGUGCAGGCACAGUGCAAUCAUAAAAUAAUAAAUUAAAAAAAGCAAAAUGAAGAAGGGGGAAGAAUAAAGAGAGAGGAAGAAGAGAAGAAGAAAUUGAGAGAAGGGAAACAAAUUCAACCAAUCAUUAAAACUUUGAAUUGCAUUGGAAAUUUUCUACACUUCGCUGAAUCUUGGGUGUAAUUUCCUAAUUUUGGCUUUGUCCUAUCACAUAAAUUUUUCCUGUCUGGACUCAUUUUUACUCACAGAUUGGUCUUCAAAAUUUGUAAGUGUUAAGCUGUGUAAAAUAGGACAUGUUGCCUGUUUGUUGAAGCCUAGAGGGGUACCUGUCUCUGUAAAGCAGAGGCUGAGUUCCUUACCAUUUGUGGACCCACCGAAUGCUUGAUUUUUCAUAUUGGCUUUAUCACUAUGAAGAGUUUUCCUCUUGAAUUCACUGAUUUAUGUUCUAAGCAGAAUGAAGCCCUUUUUUAUUUUUCUCAAAAUCUGCUACCAAAAAUCACAUUAUUUCAGCAUGCAAAGACAGUUCUUUGCUUCUUCAAAGACUUAUUAGACUGAUCUGUCCCAUGCUUCUCACAGGACUGUAGCAGUGUAACCUCAUAUGAUACAAAUGCUGAGCUUCUGUUUGAAAUAAUAGGGAUGAUGCCUAAUCCUGAACAGACAUCAGAAGGAUUUUAAAUAAAGGUUGUCACUGAGAGGCCUGUAAGCUGCCCUCACUUAGUUCUGUCUGGCCUGUGUCAGGCUGAAGAUGAAGGCAUUUGAAUGUCUUAAUAGAAGCAGAGCGUGAGCUUUUUACCUUGAGCUCUUGUUACAUUUAAGGAUUCAUGCUGAAUAACAAUAAUAAAAGAUUAAUCCCAUCUGGUUUU